rnacentral:tRNA from 1 species
UCUAUUGUAGUCAAACAAUGACAUAGGAUUUAAGCUCCUAAGGUGCUCUAGCCUUUAGAA